CAGUGAUAUGGCAACAUAUAAUGUAUAACAAUUAUAACAUGCCUGUGAAACAUUAGGUAUGCAUAACGUCUCAUGGAAAACAACUUCAGCAAAACAGUGGUAGUAUUUAGUGCUGCGAUGUUGUGUUAUGUAAGUGGCUAAGUUAGGAGCACUGUCCUUGGCAUUAAUGUGGCCUCAUGUAGCGUACCCUUUCUAAAUGUCCCCUACACUCGGAGUUAGUGUUAUCUGCGAUGUUGCCAUCUCGAAAGGCUAGUGCUAGUGUUAGCUGAGUGUGCCCCUGCUCUACUACUUGUUGUAGUCUACAAGCUAGCAUGCGGUUAGCUGAGUCUAUGCCCGCCUGUCCGUGCUCCUACAAAAUUUUUGUCUUGACUUGGGGCAGCGUGUGCGGAAGGGUAGGACCGGCCCGUCUUGUCCCGUCAGGCAUCUCGGGCUAUACCGGCCUGCUCGAGGCGGCUGCGCCCAUUAGAUGGGUAUCUGGCCGACCGGCAUGUCUCUGCCCUCAUCGCUUCGUGAGGCAUAUACGAUCCCAUGGGGGCCGACCCACUCAGUCAGUCAGAACCUGCAAGGCGUAGGGCCUAGUGUGCUCAGGUACUCUACGGGUACUUGCCUCCGCUAGUGUUGCUUGGCCUGCAUGCUCCUCAUCUUUAGUGCGCUACAAUGGGGCAUUCCCUUUGAGUUUGUUCCUGUUAAUUAUCUUGGGGGCUAGCCAUGGGCGUCCGCAGGAAUUUUUCCAGGGGGGGGGGGGCAUAAUUGUAAUGACAUCCAUGCUUGGUACCUUUUUGACAGUGUCAUGAAAGGGAAGGGGCAUAGCCAUUAUCACAUAAAGCCAGGGUGAAUAGCGUUUUCACAACUAUGGUGUCAGGAAUAUAUGUUUGUAUUCCUGACACUAUAG